rnacentral:rRNA from 1 species
CGUGUAGGCGGCCUGGUAAGUCAGAUGUGAAAGCCCUGGGCUUAACCCAGGAAGUGCAUUUGAUACUGUCAGGCUUGAGUAUGGGAGAGGAGAGUGGAAUUCCCAGUGUAGAGGUGAAAUUCGUAGAUAUUGGGAGGAACACCCGUGGCGAAGGCGACUCUCUGGACCAAUACUGACGCUGAGACGCGAAAGCGUGGGGAGCAAACA